UACGUAGGGUGCAAGCGUUAAUCGGAAUUACUGGGCGUAAAGCGUGCGCAGGCGGUCUUGUAAGUCUGUCGUGAAAUCCCCGGGCUCAACCUGGGAAUGGCGAUGGAGACUGCAAGGCUAGAGUUUGGCAGAGGGGGGUAGAAUUCCACGUGUAGCAGUGAAAUGCGUAGAGAUGUGGAGGAACACCGAUGGCGAAGGCAGCCCCCUGGGUCAAAACUGACGCUCAUGCACGAAAGCGUGGGGAGCGAUCCGG
rnacentral:rRNA from 1 species